UUUUCUUGCCAACCAGGCAUUUGACUAUCAGUUAUAGUCUUACAGAUCAAGUUGGUCCACAUCAAGUAACCGACGCUUUGAUUAAAAGUAAAUUCUAGCCGUUAUUUAUUUAUUUAUUUUGUCAAUUCUAGCCGUUACUUUAGAUCAACUAAAUAGCCCGUCGCUUACAGAUCAAGCUGGCUAACGAAUCAGCGCCCACCGCCUCAGAAUAAAGACCGCGUCCGCAUUACGUGACCGACUCUGAUAGGCUUCCAGAUUAACCGACUGUGAUUAAAAAUAAAUUCUAGCCGUUGAUAUACGCAAUCACAAUUUAAUCUCAGCCUUUCAUCUUAUUCUUCCUUUCUAUAAAUAACGCUCCACCUUCGUAUUUUCGAACGCCUCAGGGCAUGGGCGCUCUGUGAUUUUGGUUUUUCUUCUAGUUUUUUCUGGCAAUUUGUUUUUCCUCGUCUGUUCGAUCCCUGUAUUUUGUUGGUUUGAUUGAUAUUUUGUAUAGUUUGAUAUCGGUUUGUGUAUGUUUUGGUUCGUAUGUGCGUAGAAUAUUUCGAUGCGAAGAGAACAGUUGGUAUUGAUUUGAUUGGUAUUGCAACUCUGUGAGGGGAUAAAUUGGCUUCACAUGUUCAUAGAUGAACUCCUCAAGUUGUUGAUACAAUAAUAUUCUGCCCAUAAUCCCACAAAUUAUUCUUCUUGUGUUGGUUGGUAUUGUGCAUUAUCCCAAGGUUAAGGUCUCAAUCAAAGAUGCACUUAAUCAAAGAUGAUUGGGAAGGGAGUAACUAUUGUCCUUUGCUCAUGUUAUGUUUUGUGUUAGUCUGAGAUUCAGUUGUGUAUUAGUCCUGCACAGUACAGAGCAAGUUCUAAAUACCGGGGUGGAUUUUCUUUUCACCUUUUUUUGUUUGUUCAUAAAUAUUUUAUAUGUUUCUUGGCAAAUAGAUCUGCAACUUGAGAUUUGCCGCAUGUUUGUAGGUGUUUUUGUUGCCUUAUUUUGACUACUUGGACUAAGAUGGACCAAGAGCUUUGCUCAGAUCUUAAUCUCUAUGAUUUUAUGUGUCUGGUGGUGGUAGAUUUUGAGAGCUAGUUGAUGGACUAAUAUUAAUUCAUUAAUUGUGGAGGGUUUGUGGAGACAAUGUAUAAGGACUUAUUUUUUGCAUUAAUUUGGUGUUGGCUUCUUGAAUAACGCUUGGAUGCUUGCAUCUUCCUCGUAUGGGAAUGUGUGAAGAGGCUUGAUCAAGAGGACUUUUGGGCCUUAGUUUUUGGUUGAAAGUUUUCUACUUAUGAACAAGAUUUGUGGUCCAUCUACUUGUAUUUUUAACUUGUCUUUCUCCUUUUUGUUUUUAGAAUUUUUGGUUGAUAGCAGUAUUUCAUGCUUCUUGAUCACAGUUCAGUAGUUUGGUUGUGGUUCUCAUCUAUUGGUUUGAGAGUAUUCAAGAAGUCUUUCUCUUUAGUUGUUAGGUUUAAAAUUCUUUACUUAGAAUAAUAAUAAAAAAAGAAAGGAAAUGUGAGCUUCCGAUAUUUGUUUUCUCAGGAUCAUUGAGAAAAUCGUGGACAUGGGCAAAGAUUGAUCUAGGAAGUGUUUUGCACAAUAAUAUGCCAUUCAUAAGU